AUGCCGGAGGCGGACACGCUGGCCGCGGUGACCGCGGCGGAGGUGGUGUCCCCGCGAUCUGGCUACUUCCGGCAGCGGAGCAUAAACGCCCCGGAUCCGGACCGCAAGGCGUUCGACGUCGAGAACCCGCCGGGAGCCUCCGUGGGCGCCGCCGGAGCCGGGGCAGGAGGCCUGGGGCUCCGGCCCAGCGAGUCCGUCGCCAAGCUGGAGUCGCUGGAGCGGGCGGAGCGCGCCGCCCUGGCGCCCGCGGUCGUGCUCAAGACGGGGUUCUACAUCCUCGUCUGGUACACCUUCAGCACCUGCCUCACCCUAUACAAUAAGACGCUGCUGGGGGACAAGCUGGGCAAGUUCCCGGCGCCGCUGCUGAUGAACACUGUGCACUUCGCGCUGCAGGCCGCGCUCUCCAAGAUCAUCCUGCUCUUCCAGGCCAAGGGGAUCGACAGCGCUGUCGAGAUGAGCUGGAAGGAUUACUUCAUGAGAGUCGUCCCAACCGCUCUGGGAACCGCGCUCGACAUAAACCUGAGCAACGCGUCUCUGGUCUUCAUCACGGUCACGUUCGCCACUAUGUGUAAAUCCGCGUCGCCAAUAUUCCUUUUGCUAUUCGCUUUUGCAUUUCGGUUGGAGAGCCCCAGCAUCAAGCUUCUAGGAAUCAUAGUUGUCAUUUCCAUUGGGGUUCUGUUGACAGUUGCCAGGGAAACUGCGUUUGACUUCUGGGGCUUCAUAUUUGUGACGCUUGCUGCUGUUAUGUCAGGAUUCCGCUGGUCCAUGACUCAGAUUCUAUUGCAAAAAGAUAGUUAUGGCCUGAAAGAUCCAAUCACCCUGAUGAGUCAUGUUACUCCGGUGAUGGCCAUAGCCACCAUGGUACUAUCUCUCCUGUUGGAUCCUUGGAGUGAUUUUCGAAAGAACACGUAUUUCGAUAACCCAUGGCACGUCAUGCGCAGUUUCUUACUUAUGCUAAUCGGAGGGAGCUUGGCUUUUUUCAUGGUUUUAACGGAGUAUAUACUUGUUUCAGCAACAAGUGCUAUAACUGUGACGAUAGCUGGGGUAGUAAAGGAAGCUGUAACCAUCUUGGUUGCAGUUUUUUAUUUCCAUGAUGAAUUUACUUGGUUGAAAGGGGUUGGUCUUACCACUACUAUGGUUGGUGUUAGCUUAUUCAACUGGUACAAGUAUGAGAAAUUCAAGAAGGGUCAGAUAAAUGAGGAUGGAGUCGAUUCACCUUCAUUUAGUGGGGAUGCCAAAUACAUUAUUCUAGAUGACCUGGAAGAUGAGGAUGGGUUUCUGGAUGAAGAUACAUAA
rnacentral:rRNA from 1 species